UACAGAGGUGGCAAGCGUUGUUCGGAAUUACUGGGCGUAAAGGGCGCGUAGGCGGCCUUCUAAGUCGAACGUGAAAUCCCUGGGCUCAACCCAGGAACUGCGUCCGAUACUGGAAGGCUUGAAUCCGGGAGAGGGAUGCGGAAUUCCAGGUGUAGCGGUGAAAUGCGUAGAUAUCUGGAGGAACACCGGUGGCGAAGGCGUCAUCCUGGACCGGCAUUGACGCUGAGGCGCGAAAGCCAGGGGAGCAAACGGG
rnacentral:rRNA from 1 species